AAAAAAAAAAAAAAAAGGAAAGUUGAAUGCUAGACUUGAGAACACCAAAAAGAUUCAAGCAGCCAGAACAUCAAAUUAAUCACUCCCACUAAUUUUCAUAUAAAGGAGAAUAGCAUAUCGAAUGUUAAAAUCGCUCUCUACCCUAAACAACCCAUUAUUAGCUAUAUAACUCUCAUCCUUGCCAUCUCGAAUUUCGUUUCUCCUAG
rnacentral:misc_RNA from 1 species